AGAAUAAAGGAUGCAAUCAUUACAGCAAGAAGACACAAUUGUUGAUCCACGCUUGAACCUUUUUGCUUCUAUACUCUACAAAGUAGAUAACAGAAGAUGAAGAAAGCACUACUUCGAAAAGGAUUUAAAUACCAAAUACUUUUAAAGAACCAAGAAAAGUAUUAUCCAGAAUAAUAUCAACACUCUUCAAUCAGAAUAGGAUAAAUCUUCCAAAACAUUUGCAAGACAAAAAAAGAAUUAUAACAACUAAUAACAUCAUUUUUCCAAGAAAAAAGUAUCAAUCUAAUUUAUUACUCUACAAAGAGAAGUUCAAGAUUGCAUAUUUAAAAUUAGCACUGACAUCUAUGCAACAGUCCAAUGGCCAAUAAAGUGCUACUUUGGAUUCUCAAUCCAUCUAAUUCUAUAAGAGAUAUGAACUUCUUUUCUUUUUAUUAGUUGCACAUGAAUGAAUAAUAAAAGUAUAGAUGCAACAUAACUGACCUAUGAUCAAUACAUUAUAAACAUAAAACCAUUACAAUAUCAGAAUAAAAAGGCAUACUCUACAGGUACUUUCAUACAUGAUUCUCCUCAUCAAAUCCAAUAACAUUAUUCAUUAAUUUAGAUAAAGUUUUUCAUAGAUUGUUGAUAUAGUCCUCAUUCCGUGUUUGCAAUUUCUCUUAAUGCUACAUGAUAAUCAAGUUUGCAUACUUCGUAUAUGACUUUUGAUCAAACAUUUCAGAUUUGCUAUUACUCUAGAUGAC